AUAUAUUUUCAUUUUCACUUUUGUUUCUUGGUAAUGAGCUUUUCAAAAAAUGUAGGACUACAUGUUGUAUAUGCUAAUAUCUUUUUGUAUGCUGUACUGACAGUCCUCAACCUGGAAGAUAUGUUUUAUUCCCAACCAUCUAUAAUCCAUUCUCUAUGAAGUUCAGCCUGUCUGCCCAAAUUCCUUUGGAAAUACAUAGUUAGUCAACCAACAUAGAAACAAUCAAACUUGAAGUCCUCAACAUGGAAGAAUUGGUUUGUUCUUAACCAUCUAUAAUCCAUUCUCUAUGAAGUGAAGCCUGGCUGCUGGUCUUCCUUUGGAAAUACACAGUUAGUCAAUCAACAUAGAAACACACAAACUUGAAGGAUUCUCUAGUGAGGGCUUAUGGAAAUGAUCUAUGUCUACUCUCAGAAUGGUGAAAGACUAUCAGAUUAUGCAAAGACUAACAGAAUAUCCUCUCCUGGAACACUGAAACAAGAAAACCAAACUUAAAAGAUGGAGGAUUUAAGAAGAACAUAAAUAUGAUUUCCAACUAAUUUAACCAGUACGAUCAUAGACUGUGGUUUACAGGAUGACAAAGAAAGAAGUCAGGAUUGUAUCUUUCACUGUCAGACACUGACUAUGGAUAAAGUGUAAUCAUUUAUCAAACUGAGAUUUAGUCAAAUCAAGUAUUGAAAAUAUGAUUUUCUGAUAGCAUGAGCUCUUUAAAAACUAAUUCUCACGGACCUCAAAGUAUCUGAAUGUGAGUUUUAUUUUGAC